rnacentral:lncRNA from 1 species
UGGGUUGCUCACAAAGCUUCUGAUAGUUCAUUACUUAUGAGACAUUCUUGGAUAUGUCGGUACCUAUUACCGAGUUUGAAAAAUGAAUUUUACUUGUUGAUAUGAUUGAAUAGAGUCUUGAUAGGUUCGGGUGUGUUUUGGAUCAUUGAUUAAGAGGUUAGCUAAGUUAAGAAUUUGGAGUUUGAUCAUGGUUAAUAUCGGGUCAAGAUGACCUAUUUUUACUUCUCUUUCAUGUCAAAUCAGUCUCUGCAACUCUUCUCACUCUAAUCACUUUUUAUCUGCAGAUUCUCAGAAUCAUAAUUCUUCCCGUCAAAUCAGUCUCUUAGAAUCAUAGUUCUUCCCGUAAAAUCAGGCAUUCUGUGACUCUCACACAAUCAUACUCUUCUUGUCAGUUCUUUUAACACUUAUGGCAAAUAAAAAAAACAACGACUCAAUCUGUGGUGCAAGUUUACAUGAAUGGAAUAGAGAUUGUCCAGGGUGCCGAUUAACACCAAUUUUUCCUAGAAGAAUUCAACUCUAUUUUUCGAAAGUUGGCAUUUUGAAUAACUUAAGAGUUCAUAAGUUUGACCAAGAGUUGACUUUGAUGCUAUUGAACUCCAAUUGGUAUUCCGAGACUUUGGAUAGGUCUAUAUAAUUGAAUUGAAUGUGUGUGCAAAGUUUGAAAGUAAUAUGAAGUGUGUAAGUGUGAUUCAGACACUCUUUUGAAUGAAUGAAGACUUUGGAUAGGCUUAAUCUUGCUUACUAACUAUAUAGUUAUGCUUUGAUUUCUCUCCAAAAUAUCUCUCAAAUUAUUCAAACUAUAUAAGACAUGAAGUGAUUAAAAACACUUCUUUCUUCUUCUAUUAAUUUUUCCAACAAAGGACAAGCUUCAUUCUCCCAAAAAUUAACCUAUCAAUACUAACUAAUCAAACAAACCAAUUAAUAAGUCAUAUUCUUAUCAAAGUUACUUAUCCAAUCACUUAUUAUAUUUUUAAGUGUAAUACUUGGAUAAUUUCAAUAAUAUAAGUUAUAUAUAUGCCAAACACUUUAAAAAAAUAUAUCACUUGACUAUCUAAGCUUAUUCAUUUGAUGAAUAAGUUUAACUCUCAGGACUUAAUUUUUUUGAUAACUACUAAAUUUUGUAUAAAUUACGCAAGUCUCAUGAUCUUAUGACCCUUAAUUUAACUUAAAUUAUAUUUUGUUAGUUACAUUAAACUAUUAAAAUAAAAUGAUAUAGAGCUUUCAACUAUUUUAAAGCAAGCUAUAUAAUAAAUGUAAAUCUUAGAUUCACUAAUUAAUGCACAUUGUUAAUAAGAUACAUCAUCAUCAAAUAAACUUUCAUAUUACUCUCCAAUAUUAUAACUAAUGCACAGUAUUAUUAAUAAGGUUAUGAUUAAAUUUUAGGGAUGCACGGAGAAUCAAAUUAGAGUAAAUCUAAAUAGAGAAAAUGAAUAUUUAAACCAAAAUAAUGAAUUCAAUUUUUGGAAUGCACAAAUUAAAGAACCCAAUUAGGAGAGCGAAUUAGGUACUAAAAAAUAAAAACAAAAUUACUAACCUCAAUAUUACUAUCGCCACCGCUACCGGAAUAUCCCGCUGUCAACGUCCGAAAGCUGCCGCCUAUAAGAAAAAACCUUGGAAUGAGAUGGAUGGAGAGAAGGGGGGUUGAUGGUGAGUGGGAGGGAUGGAAGAAGAGUGAUGGAGAGUGACACUUAACGGUUGGAAUCGCCGGAGUGAAGGAAGAAAAGUAUGUUAGAGAAGGGAGAGAAGGUUUGGGGGGAAUGAAAAAUGAGAACAAAAUCGCGUUUGGGGGGAAAUAAUAAAAGGAUUUGAGACCGAUUCGGCGGAAACUUAAAAUUAUAUUUGUG